UCCUGCUUCCGAGCCGGCCUGUCAGAGUAGAGACUGGGCGUGGUUUAAACUCACCCAGCCUAUCGUUGAAUGUUGGCGCACAGGCUGGUCCCAGCUCCCUAGGCGCUUCAGCGGUCAGUCGUUGUAGUUGUGUAGAAUAUCUAUGCGCCCAUGCUCGAUACAGAUAUCACACACCUGGCUCCUGUUAUCUAACAAAAGACUGUUUGUUCUCGCAACACUACGUUCUGAAUGUGCCCCCACAACUCAUUGCACAGUUCUUGUCUUCAUGUUAUUCUGUAUUUUUCCAUCAUGAGAAAGGCCCAUGGCCCUGAAACUGUUAACAAUGUCUCAAGUCAGCUAUGUUGCAUGACACAUAUACCCACACAAGCCAAAAGCAAAUUAUAUUCCAUCACAUAUGAUAUGGUAACGGGCUAGUGUAUAACACAGAACCUCACACGUUCGAUUUUUUGCUGAUAUGGGAACGAAUACACAAGCAGCAUAUCAAACUGGGAUGAUGUUUAUGUUACAUUAUCCAAUUGACCACCAGAGACAUUCUUCAAAGGACUCGGUUGGGCAACACGGCCUUCCAUCUAUCACCAACCUACCGCAGCUCAGAGACCUGAGCCCUAGGACCAUGCCCCAGAACUACCUGACAUGAUGACUCCUUGCUAUCCCCAGUCCACCUGGCCGUGCUGCUGCUCCAGUUUCAAUUGUUC
ensembl:lncRNA